AGAAUCAACGCUGGCGGCGUGCCUCAGACAUGCAAGUCGAACGCGAAAGUCCCCUUCGGGGGGCAAGUAGAGUGGCGCACGGGUGAGUAACACGUAGGUAAUCUACCUUUGGAUGGGGAAUAACAACCGGAAACGGUUGCUAAUACCGCAUAAUGCAGCGGCACCUAAUGGUGACAGUUGUUAAAGCGGGGGAUCGAAAGACCUCGCGUCUAAAGAGGAGCCCGCGGUGGAUUAGCUUGUUGGUGGGGUAAUGGCCUACCAAGGCUACGAUCC
rnacentral:rRNA from 1 species